UACGGGGGGGGGUAAGCGUUGUUCGGAAUUACUGGGCGUAAAGGGCGCGUAGGCGGCCUGUUAAGUCGAACGUGAAAUCCCCGGGCUCAACCUGGGAACUGCAUCCGAGACUGCAUUGCUAGAGUAUGGGAGAGGAAAGCGGAAUUUCUGGUGUAGCAGUGAAAUGCGUAGAUAUCAGAAGGAACAUCAGUGGCGAAGGCGCUUUCUGGACCAAUACUGACGAUCAGGUGCGAAAGCGUGGGGAGCAAACAGG
rnacentral:rRNA from 1 species